rnacentral:lncRNA from 1 species
UUCUUGAACCACUUAUUUAGACACCAGUCAGAUUGACCAAUCUGAAUUUAGUCCAACUCUAAGGGUUCUUUGUCCUAUUGAGCUCGAGAAUCCUUAGAGGCUAAAGUCUAAUUGAUUUUAGAUUAAAGACUUUGGUUAAUACAAUAUGAAGGGUGAUGGUUUGUGGGCUAAGAAAUGAUGAUGAAAUCUCCACCUUAUGUUGAUUAGGAUUUGUGCUCUUAAAGUAA